AGGAGUGGAGCCUGCGGCUUAAUUUGACUCAACACGGGAAACCUCACCCGGUCCUGAACACCUGAAGGAUUGACAGAUUGAGAGCUCUUUCUCGAAAAGGUGGUUGGUGGUGCAUGGCCGUUCCUAGUCCGUGGAGCGAUUUGUCUGGUUUAUUCCGGUAACGGACGCAACUCUAGCCUGCUAACUAGUUCUCGCCUUGAGACACAGGACGAGCGUCAACUUCUUAGAGGGACAAGUGGUGUAAAAGCCACACGAGGACAAGAGCUAAAACAGGUCUGUGAUGCCCUUUGAUGUUCGGGGCCGCACGUGUGCUACACUGAAUGGUACAGCGAGCCUAGACUGUGCCUACGAGCACCCACCUCGCCCGAGAGGGUUGGGGCAAUCUGAUGAAUACCAUUCGUGAUUGGGACUGGGGCUUGGCGCCUAUGAAUUAUUCCCCACGAACGAGGAAUUCCCAGUAAUCGCUAGUCAAUAGCUAGCGUUGAUUGCGUCCCUGCCCUUUGUACACACCGCCCGUCGCUAGUACCGAUCGCUUCGGUCGACGAGCUCCUCGGAUGGGUCGCCAGUGUGAGUAGUUAGAGGCACAGUUGCACCGUUCGAGGCUUCGGCCGAGGGGCUUCUGGGCUGACGCUCCGCUGUGCUGAGCCUAGAAGUGGAGCGAAUCGUCCGGAGUAGAGGUCCUAAAAGUCGUAACAAGGUAUCC
rnacentral:rRNA from 1 species